GAAGCUCUCUAUGAGUCUGAAAGAUGUUCAAGUGGGGGGAGGGGGGUGGAGGGAGGGGAUGGAUUAUUUGUCUUCUGUGGCUUCGCUGAGGGUAGAGGGACUCAACUCCUUAGUCUUGGGACUCAGCUUUUAGCAAACAUUAGGCAGUGGUUGGACGGUGGAGUAAGAACUCUCUGAAGCACUGAGGAUGUUUCCAACUGCUCUAACAGAUGUGAGGUGACCAAAGAUGUAUCACUAACAAGCAAACAAGGAAAUUUGAACUUCCUCCCUCGUAGCUGUGAGAGAUCUCCAGUUACACUCUAAUAGCCUUCCAUUGGCAUUGUGAAAUGAAGCAGCACUUUGACAUUCUUCCUUCUGUAGAGGUAGCAAAACCUUUCCAGACAAAAGCCCAACAAGUGAUGAAUGCUAUUUUGGUGGAAUGGAAUGGCCAAGUGUUUCAUGGAGGGUGUCAGAGAAAUGUCUGGCUGGGAAAAGAGAGACCAGGAAGCAGAUUCUGUUUUCUCAUGGCUCAGUGUACAGGAGCUGCAUGUGGACUACAUUGUAACCCGUGGUUUUUAUGUUGAACAGAACUGUCUCAGAAAGCAUGGACAUUUCCUGAGAGAGAAGGAAGAAAGAAGGGGGAAAAAGAUUGGUGGAAUGAAGUGUGUGUGUAGGGAACAGCAUGGAAGAUAA
rnacentral:lncRNA from 1 species